CUUCCGCUAUAUCUUUUGGAAAAAUGACCCUGAAACUUUUACACAGGGGACUCUUAAAAAGAGUACUAAACACACCAAAACAUAAGUUCAACAUAAAAAGUUCAAAAUGUUGUUCGUAUUAUCCUGUAAACGAUUCAUUGUUUGGCUUGACAGAAGAACAAAAACAGGUAUGAAGCUUGGGAUGUUUACAUAACAAAUUUAUGUGAUCCUAAUAUGAAAUUGACUAUUAACAUGGUUCUAAUCCAAAAUUAUUAGUUAACAUGGAUGUAAUGAUUACAAAGCAACCCAGACUGACAGCACCACCAGAUGAGUUUUACUCGAAGCGUUGCUUGUUAAAGUCCAUAAUAAAUUGGGAAUGUAAUUUGCUCUGUUUUGUUGAGAAAAAUUUUGGUUUAUGUUAUUCAUACAUUUACAUGUCAUCUUAAUAUGUAUAAUGUGAGGCAGGCAUUACCUGUGAAAGGGGACAAAGUCUGUAUAAUUUUUUUUAACAUGUUCAUGAUGUUUGAAAAAAAAGAAACAGAAAUGCCGUUAUUGAGUUCCUUCCUAGUUUACUAGAGUGAUAAACAAAUAUGUUAUUCAAAGUCUCAUGCAAACAAGACUGGGAAAAGGAAGUAAGUAUCUGCGCUGAUGCUGGGAUUUAAAAAAGUCUUGAAAAAAAAAGGUUAACGAUUUUGAGUUCAUUAGUAGAAUGAAAAUUUCGGGAAAUUUUCCCUAUUAUUUUUUUUCUACCAUAAUGGUCCAUUUGCCAAUUACCGAUUUGAUUCUGUUAGAUUCGUAGACUGGUUCCAUACAGGACAAAAUUGGCUUGAUGAGUUGAAAGUGAUGUUUCGGCGGUUUAACUAAUCUUUCAUGAAAAAUAAUUUCAGAUGUCAAAAGUAUUAAGCUUGAAAGCAACAAAUUAAUGUAAUUAAAAGAUUUGUAAACCUUAAAGAUUACUCACAUUACGCACAGGUAAAUUUGCUCUUUCUGCUAGCUCUCCGUUGUAAAUAAAAAUUAAUGUCCCUCAUAAGGGAGACAACUAAAAAAAAAGGUAUGUAAUUACAGGGUCAAUAGCAGGAAUUGGCAAAUAGCCUAUUGGGGAACAUAAACCUAUAGAUCUAUAGAUAGCUAUAAUUCCAGACAAAAUAUCACCUCAUUCUCUAAAAGAUGUAAACCUUCAAAUCUUAACUAUAAUAUCUAAAAGAUGUUUAAUUCAUCAGUAUCAAAAUAUUAAAACAUCUAAUUUUUAACAAUAUCAUCACUUACUGACUCAACCUUAAAAAAAUAUGGAAAUGUAGAUGUACAUUGUUAGGAAUUAUAUGUUCAAGACAUCUUUCAGUGUAAACAAAGUUUAUGUUCCUUCAUUUUGAAGGAUUUUUUAUAUUUAUAUUAAAAGACAUGUAUUAUUCAAUUAAAAAUUAUAUAAUUGAAAAAAAGAUAAACAAGUAUGCUCAAGAAAUUAGACAGAAAUCUCAUUGUAACAUUGUUCAUGUUUAUUAAACUUACGUACAGUAUGUUUUUUUUAUCAAAACAAUUGUUUAUUUAUUUUGAUAAAGUUAAAAUCUUAACUCUAACAUCCAUGACACCAAACCUUUGGACAAGGUUACAAAAUUAAACAUUAAAACUGGUGGAUAAUUACCAUAAUAUAAAAGACUUAAAACUAAAUUAUUUUCACGGGUGUUUUUAAUCAUUUGUUUCUCAGAUGUACUUUUAGCAAACAGUCAACUAUAUUUGGAGUAUGUAAUAGUUGUAAGAUUGUAAGUGUUUAAGUAGCAUUAUAAGAUUUUGUACCGGUCAUCUUAGCUUUGAACACAUUUAGUGUUUAUGUGUUUAUUGUAAUACAAUUAAAUUUAAUAGAUAUUUGUAUGUUAGCACAAUUCAUGGUUUAUUUUUCAGUUGAGACAGUCAGUUUUUCAGUUUUGUCAAAAAGAACUAGCACCAAAAGCACAAGAAAUUGAUCAUAACAAUGAAUUUAAAGAUUUAAGAG
rnacentral:lncRNA from 1 species